UCCCAGCCAGUAUAGUGUUCACUUCAAUUACAUCUUAAAGUUUAAGACAGAUCAGUAAAGUCCGACAUCAAAACACAGGAAGUUCAAUUUAAGGACACGUUAUCAAAGGAAGGUCACAAUGAUUGUUUUUCUCUUUUUCUGGUGCCUGACAGGUGUCUGUCUGGGUGUAGAGGUUGGUCAGACUCCCUCUGAGUUCAUCACAAAUGUUGGAUCCAGAGUUGAGAUUUUCUGCAGCCAUGAAAAGACUGACUACAGGGUGAUGCUCUGGUACCAGCAGCCACCCGGAGAAACAGCUAUGAAACUCAUUGGGUUUUUAAACUUCCAAGCUUUCACAUUUGACCAAGACCAAUAUAAAGAUCAUUUUGAUUUUACAGGAGAUUUGAGUGGGGAUACAGCAAAAAAUGGCUCUCUGAUAGUCAAAGUGACACAACAUGAGCACAGUGCAGUGUACUACUGUGCAGCUAGAUAUGCACAAUGACAAAAAGAUUGUCUGAACUUUACAAAAACCCCACAGCCUGGAAUCAUCAGUGGUUUGAAAAAAGAAAAUAAACUGAUUUGAGACACCUGU